AUGCAAGUCGAACGGUAACAGAGGAGCUUGCUCCUGCUGACGAGUGGCGAAAGGGUGAGUAACGCGUGAGUAACCUGCCUUAAGGCUGAGGAUAGCCCCGCGAAAGCGGGAUUAAUACCGAAUGUGGCGUCCCGCCAAACGACGGGAUUGCUAAAGGAGCAAUCCACCUUAAGAUGGGCUCGCGUCCUAUUAGCUAGUUGGUGAGGUAAUGGCUCACCAAGGCGAUGACAGGUAGGUGGUCUGAGAGGAUGGUCACCCACACUGGGACUGAGACACUGCCCAGACUCCUACGGGAGGCUGCAGUCGAGAAUCUUCCGCAAUGCGCGAAAGCGUGACGGAGCAAUGCCGCGUGAGGGAUGAAGGCUUUCGGGUCGUAAACCUCUGUCACCCGGAACGAAGAUCUGACGGUACCGGGAGAGGAAGUCACGGCUAACUACGUGCCAGCAGCCGCGGUAAUACGUAGGUGGCGAGCGUUAUUCGGAUUUAUUGGGCGUAAAGGAUCCGUAGGGGGUUUGUUAAGUUCGAUGUGAAAGCCCGAGGCUCAACCUCGGAACUGCAUUGGAAACUGACAGACUAGAGUAUAGGAGAGGAGAGUGGAAUUCCUGGUGUAGCGGUGGAAUGCGUAGAUAUCAGGAGGAACACCAAUGGCGAAGGCAGCUCUCUGGACUAUUACCGACC
rnacentral:rRNA from 1 species